GACGAACCGUGCAAACGUUGUUCGGAAUCACUGGGCUUAAAGGGCGCGUAGGCGGGCAGGCAAGUCGAAGGUGAAAUCCCACGGCUCAACCGUGGAAGUGCCCCCGAUACUGCCUGUCUCGAGGGAGAUAGGGGCGUGCGGAACUUCCGGUGGAGCGGUGAAAUGCGUAGAUAUACGGAAGGAACACCGGUGGCGAAAGCGGCGCGCUGGAUCUCUUCUGACGCUGAUGCGCGAAAGCCAGGGGAGCAAACGGGG
rnacentral:rRNA from 1 species